UACGAAGGGGGCUAGCGUUGUUCGGAAUCACUGGGCGUAAAGCGCACGUAGGCGGAUCUUUAAGUCAGGGGUGAAAUCCCGAGGCUCAACCUCGGAACUGCCUUUGAUACUGGGGAUCUCGAGUCCGGGAGAGGUGAGUGGAACUGCGAGUGUAGAGGUGAAAUUCGUAGAUAUUCGCAAGAACACCAGUGGCGAAGGCGGCUCACUGGGCCGAUACUGACGCUGAGGAGCGAAAGCGUGGGGAGCGAACAGG
rnacentral:rRNA from 1 species